CCUACGGGGGGCAGCAGUGGGGGAUAUUGGACAAUGGGGGAAACCCUGAUCCAGCGACGCCGCGUGAGUGAAGAAGUAUUUCGGUAUGUAAAGCUCUAUCAGCAGGGAAGAAAGAAAUGACGGUACCUGAUUAAGAAGCUCCGGCUAACUACGUGCCAGCAGCCGCGGUAAUACGUAGGGGGCAAGCGUUAUCCGGAAUUACUGGGUGUAAAGGGAGCGUAGGCGGUAAUGCAAGUCUGGAGUGAAAGGCGGGGGCCCAACCCCCGGACUGCUCUGGAAACUGUGUAACUGGAGUGCAGGAGAGGCAGGCGGAAGUCCUAGUGUAGCGGUGAAAUGCGUAGAUAUUAGGAGGAACACCAGUGGCGAAGGCGGCCUGCUGGACUGUAACUGACGUUGAGGCUCGAAAGCGUGGGGAGCAAACAGGAUUAGAUACCCCAGUAGUC
rnacentral:rRNA from 1 species